UUUCACUUGAAAUGAUGACACAGUCUUACAUAGGGCUGUCUUUAUCUUCCUUUCCAAAUUAUAUUUUCACUUGAACCCUCUUCAUUUAACACCGUGCUUCUGAAAGAAAGAUUAUAGCUCUGUCAGUCUCUCUAUCCCCUAUGUAUUACAGAUAAAAAGCAUUAUUAUGAGAAACUAUUAUAGUAAAAUCACUCAACCAUACAGGAGCUAAAGUAAUGCUACUUAGUCUGACAUCACAGUAUUUAAUUCUGAUAAUCUUAUUGCAGAAACAAAUGUUUUCCUUUUACACUUCAGAAAAUAAGGGACAUCCAGAUGAUUUUUAAAAUCCAAUUUUCAAUAUUAAAAUUCACAGUGGAGGACAGUGAGUUUUUAUAAACUGUGCAGGCCAGGGUCUUUUUUCAAACCUGCAGGUAAAUACUCAGGGAAAUGUACUCUUACAGGUUUGCACUGAACUUAGCUACCACUUACAAUUAGCUGCUGAGCCAAUAGGCUGUUUUAGAAAUGAACUUGCUACUUUGAUGGUGGAUUUGAAUGUUUGUAUAAACUGGAACAAAAGGCAGAGGAAAUUAAUUUGACUGCUGUGGAGACCUAUGACUAUGUUUCUUGUCCUUACUUGAAUUAAAUUACUUAUAACAUUCCAUCCCAUCCCUAAGAAAAUAAACUCAGUCAUUUGAACAAACUAAUUUACCUCAUUGUUAAUCUAAAGCAUGGCAUUUCCAAAUCCUUUUGGGGGAAAAAUUAUUUACACUCUGAAAAUGUUUCACAUUUUCACAUUUUCCAGGAAUGACAUAUAUAAAAACUCACUGCAUAAACAGUGCAGAUCACUGCAGGGCUUUCCCAUGCUCUUCCUUUGAGCCAACCCAAUUGUAGCAGCAUUGUAAUUUUCCCUGUGAGCCAUUAAGUCAAUAAAAGGCUGAAUACAGAGCUCAGGUCACAGUUACCUUUGAGUUCUGCCUUCAGGAUGUCAGAGUGGCUGGAAAAAUUCAAUAUGGUUUUUCCACAUCCCUGGAAUGUUUGUACUGGUCUCCUGUUGCACACAGAAUGAUGUAAGGAGUCUGCACUGAGCUACUGUUAUACCCUCAAGUAAAAAUUAAGAGACCUGUUAGUCAUUACAUUUUCUGAAAUAAUAGUCUCUGUGCCAGGGAGGUUAAAAGUUAUGGUUUCUUUCAUUUCAAGGGGUUCUUAAUUAUGCAUUUAGUUCCCAAUUUUUCAGGUGCUGCUUGAUGACAUUGGUAAUAGACUGAACUCAAAGGAGCUACUCGCACACACGGCAAUGCCAUGGGUGUGUUUAAAGCACAUCCAGGUGUUUUAGAAUCUUCUGGCCCGAGUUGUACCAGCUCUGAUGCCUCCAGUUAAUUUCUGCCAAGUUGAAGUCCCCAGUAAGGACAGGGGCAGUUGGCUUGGAGGUGUCCCUUAGUUCCUCAAAACUUAUUCAUUGGCAUCAUCAUCCUGGCUGUAGGUCUGUGGCUGACUCCCACAAUGACAUCCACUUUGUUUGUUUGUCACUUGAUUGUUAUCCAGAGGCUCUCAACUGUUCCAUCACCAGCUGUGAGAUCCAUAUAUUCUAACCCUUCUGUUCCACACAGUGCCAUCCCUCUCCUCCUUCUGCCCUGCCUGUCCCUCCUGAAGAGCCUAGAAGCAUUCAGGCUGGCACUCCAGUAACAGAACUCAUCCCACCAGACUGGCCCAAAGCUGCAAGCUCCUUGGCUUUGUUCCUUUGCCUUGUGCAUUCAUGUAGAAACGUUUCAGGUGUGGUACAUGGCGGCCAAUACCUUGUAAAGCAGAUUAAGGGAUCCCAUUAAUGCUCAUUUCCUCUAGUUUUUGACACACAGUGCCCUCACUCCUCACAGACAACCUUCUGGUCCUUAAACUAUGUGGUUUUUUUAAGCCAUAAGCACAGAGGUCUUGCAGAAAGUCAGACUCACUCCAGGGCAUCCACCAUGAGAACAGCAUCCCAGGGGAACCUCGACUUGGUGCUUGCUGUAGCUGGGAAGAUGCGUGAUUCCUGGCUUGUUCUUCUCAGUGCCUGUGCUGAAAGACUCCUGUGUUGUGCUGAACCUACAAACAAUAAAUGCAGAAGCAAAAAAGCAAGAUAAUAAUAAAUUUUUUCCUUCCAAAUAACAGUAAAAAACUGAAUGAAUUAAUGAAUGAAUGUCAGUGUCUUACAAUGGGGAUGCUAGAACAUACAUCUCUAUUGAACUGAUCUUAAUUCAGUAACUUUUUUCCAAACAUUACUUUGAUUCUCAUUUUUUCCCCAUUUAGAGUAGACUCUUUCAGCCUAUUCUGAAGAAUGCCAUUUGAAACAUAACCUGUAUUGUAUAAAGAAUUACCUAAUUCUGGCCACUGAAAUACAGGUUAUGUCAUGUAAUGCUGCUUCUCUGCCAGCUGGCAU